rnacentral:rRNA from 1 species
UACGAGGGGGGCAAGCGUUGUUCGGAAUUAUUGGGCGUAAAGGGUGCGUAGGCGGCCUGAAAGGUCAGCUGUGAAAACUCGAGGCUCAACCUCGAGACGUCGGUUGAAACCAUCUGGCUAGAGUCCGGAAGAGGAGUGUGGAAUUCCCGGUGUAGCGGUGAAAUGCGCAGAUAUCGGGAAGAACACCCGUGGCGAAGGCGGCACUCUGGGACGGUACUGACGCUGAGACGCGAAAGCGUGGGGAGCGAACAGG